rnacentral:lncRNA from 1 species
GCGUGAUAGCAAGGGCCGUGCAGGAAACAAACAGGAUGUGGUAAGAGCAACCAGAAGGGCCACAGGAUUUAUUUUAGAAAGACCAUCAGGGUUUUCCUGAAACAAACUCUCAUCAUCUGAGAGAACCUGCAUGCACCUCUGCUCCCUGCACCCCAGAGGGAACCAGCAGUGUGCCCUGGGAAAAGCUGGGGCCCCACAGGUCCCAGUCUCUGAACAGGGUCUCGUAUAAAGAAGCACCGUCCAGCAACUAUUGCAGCAUUCACUGGCAUCUCGAAGACAGUAUCAACGAGUAUCUACAUCACAACCCGUAACCUCGCUCCUCAAGUUCCCUGUCCUCCCCUCCCAACCCCUGUACCCACAGCUGAUCGUGAGCCUCACACCCACCCACCUCCAGCAGUGCCAGAUUCACUCCUUACUUCCCCACUCUCUUCAUAUGGAGAGUGACAGCUUCCCUAGGUCGUAGAAGAAAACAACAUGGACCACUUGCCAGCGUCUCUUUGAACAGAGAAGCUACUGCUGUCUAAGAGCCACCAUCCCCAAUCCCAGGCACAGGGCUUGAGGGAAACUUAUUUUCUGCCCCCACCUUCCUUAAAGGUGGAACUCAUGACUGAGACCUGAGCCUAUCAGCCGGUCACGUGAUCCUGGCCCAGGGCUAUUGGCUGUGGGAAGUGGAUGCUGCCCGCCCUGUUGUCCUGUGGGAGCUUGAGGGGAUGUACAUCUGGCAUUGCUGGCAGGCAUUUUGUUCCCAUGAGGGAAGAGUCUGGGAGAGAAGCAACCUGGUGGAGAGUGGGCCUAAGACACGGAGAGAGGAUGUUGAUGCCGUGAGUUCCCAAUCCCGCCGCGCCCGUCAGACUUACCCUCAGC